GUAAAGUUACAACAUCAAAUCAGAUUUUAUUGGUCACAUACACAUAUUUAGCAGAUGUUAUUGCGGGUGUAGUGAAAUGAUAACACCGUAGUCAGUGAUCUGUGGUUUGUAAUCCAUCACUCUCCCAUCCUGUUCUCUCUGUAGUCAAAACAUGGAGCAAGGCGGCCCAUCUCCUCCAUGUGUUUGAGGGACAUAACCAACCUGUCACCAACCUGGUCCUGCACCCUGACACCCCUCCAUCUUCAUCUCUGGCUCUCUGGACGGUACAAUCCGCCUCUGGUGCCUGGACACCCUGACCCAGCUCUGCAGUGUAACAUGUGUGAAGGGGGUUAUGGGACUGGGGCUAACAGAGGAGGGGCUGCUGAAUGCCUGGUCUCUGAGGAACAUGCAGCUCUACCAACCUAACUACUUCCUGGACUUCUGGAGCCACCUGCGCUGCCUAGCCCUCUCCUUCACACUGUGCAAGGCCCUGGACAAGCCCACAUACCUUCUCACCCUGGGGGAGGGCAACAGAUGGUAAGAAGUUGUGCAUAAUGCCCCCACACCCCUUCCACUCACUGCUGAAAGUCCUGCCUAACUUUGCCUAUGGCCGGGCCAGUCGGGCCAUCGCCCUCCUGCUCAGCUCCUGGGAGAUCUGGGUCUACACAGCCAGGACUGACCCAGUGUUCCGUGUGGCUAGGUUGGAAAUCAGGGAGAUGCAGCAGCUCAUUGCUUACAUCAUGCCAAAGGACAGGGCAUGUGUAAAGAGGGAAAAGGCUUUUGCAUUGGCACCGGAGGUCCACCUUGUGACUACGGCAUCCAGUUUGGUGUUAUUGUCCAGUGGUCAAGGGAUCUGUGCACCUUCAUUAGACGUCUCCUGUGAGAAGAGACAAAUCUGGGAGUGUUGUAGCCUGGGAUUUCUCAUCUCUCCUGUCUGCUACUGGACUGAUGAGGGAAUGGUCUGUGCAGAUGCCAUCAACCUCAUACUGUGUGGCAUGCAGGACGGAAGAAUACUAUUCAUGGAUUCAUUCGAAAUCUGAAUUUCUGUGAGAUUAAAAUCCACAAAGAUCCUGUCCAGUGUGGAUGAGAUGAUACCAGCUCCCUGCCCAGUCCCAUCUCCUCUCUGUCUGUGCUUCAGAACCCUGCUCCUUACACAUGGACAGUCCACCACUGACCUCAUACAGACCCUGGGUGAGAUGAUACCAGCUCCCUCCCUAACCUACCAGUCCCAUCUCCUCUCUGUCUGUGCUUCAGAACCCUGCUCCUUACACAUGGACAGUCCACCACUGACCUCAUACAGACCCUGGGUGAGAUGAUACCAGCUCCCUCCCUAACCUACCAGUCCCAUCUCCUCUCUGUCUGUCCUUCAGAACCCUGCUCCUUACACAUGGACAGUCCACCACUGACCUCAUACAGACACUGGAUGAGAUGAUACCAGCUCCCUGCCUAACCUACCAGUCCCAUCUCCUCUCUGUCUGUGCUUCAGAACCCUGCUCCUUACACAUGGACAGUCCACCACUGACCCUGGAUGAGAUGAUACCAGCUCCCUCCCUAACCUACCAGUCCCAUCUCCUCUCUGUCUGUCCUUCAGAACCCUGCUCCUUACACAUGGACAGUCCACCACUGACCUCAUACAGACCCUGGGUGAGAUGAUACCAGCUCCCUCCCUAACCUACCAGUCCCUGCCCAUUCCCAUCUCCUCUCUGUCUGUCCUUCAGAACCCUGCUCCUUCCGCCCCUCUGUCCCGAGCUGCCCCUCUGUCCAGUGGGGUCAUUGAGAGGGGUGGCCAUGGUGAGAAAGCCACGGAGGCGGACAAUAAGGCGGACUAAGACAAUGGUGAAGUGGGGUCCGCGUCCUGCGCCAGAGCCGCCACCGUGGACAGACGCCCACCCAGACCCUCCCCUAUAGGUCAAGGUUUUGCGGCCGGAGUCCGCACCUUUGGGGGGGGGGGUACUGUCACGUUCUGACCUUUAUUUCCUGUGUUUUAUAUUUAGUUAGUAUGGUCAGGGCGUGAGUUGGGUGGGCAGUCUAUGUUUGAUUUUCUAUGAUUUGGGGUUUUCUAUGUUUCGGCCUAGUAUGGUUCUCAAUCAGAGGCAGGUGUCAUUAGUUGUCUCUGAAUGAGAAUCAUACUUAGGUAGCCUGGGUUGCACUGUUUGUUUGUGGGUGAUUGUCUAUGUUGAUGGCUUGUUUCAGCGCAGCUCACAUUAGCGUCACGGUUGUUAUUUUGUUUACUACUUUGGUAUAGUGUUUCAGUGUUCAGUUCUUUCUUGAUUAAACAUUCAACAUGAACACAUAUCACGCUGCAUAUUGGUCCUCCGAUCCUUCUCGCCUCUCCUCUUCAGAUGAAGAGGAGGACGACCAUGACAGAAUCACCCACCAACCAAGGACCGAGCAGCGUGGUAAAGGACAGCGACGAAAGCAGCAGCAGCAUCAACAACAGAGGCCAGCAUCACAGGACUCCUGGACAUGGGAGGAGAUACUGAACGGAGAGGGACCCUGGGCACCGGCUGGGGAAUAUCGCCGCCCCAAAGCAGAGCUGGAGGCAGCGAAAGCUGAGCGGCAGCGAUAUGAGGAGGCAGCACGGCAGCGCGACAGGU
rnacentral:lncRNA from 1 species